GCCAUGGAGCCAGAUAUGGUAAUUGACCUAGUCAGAGAAGCUAGAUUAAAAGGCUAAUGUAUCUGCAGGCCUAUCACCCGGGGUCCACACAAAAAAACUGUCCACAUUACGGGACUUGCAGGCAAAGAAAAGAAAGGCAAUAGCAGUGACAAAGAAAGCAAAACUGCAUAGAAUCCAGUUGAAGUCAAAGCGUCACCAAAAUACUUCAAGUUGUGAAGUAAGAGAAGGGGUGUGUUAUGAAGAGGGCACAGCACUAGGAGUUGAACCGGAUAUAACAGAAAUACCUGCACCAGUUCAAACAGUGACCAAUCAGUCAAUGCCUCCAAAUUUGUCUAGAAUAUAUUUUGACAUAGAAGCUACUGGGCUUAGUAGAACAUCACACAUAUUACAAUUAUCUGCCAAAAGGGAUGAGGAGAUGUAUACUUCAUUUGUAUUACCAUCAUGCCAAGUAACAAAGAAGGCCGCUG